GAGGGUACAGCUCAGUGCUAGAGCGCAUGCUUAGCAUGCACGAGGUCCUGGGUUCAAACCCCAGUAUCUCCA
rnacentral:tRNA from 1 species